UCUUAAUGGUGCUGCAUCUGC
rnacentral:siRNA from 1 species